UACGAAGGGGGCUAGCGUUGCUCGGAAUCACUGGGCGUAAAGGGUGCGUAGGCGGGUCUUUAAGUCAGGGGUGAAAUCCUGGAGCUCAACUCCAGAACUGCCUUCGAUACUGGGAGUCUCGAGUUCGGGAGAGGUGAGUGGAACUGCGAGUGUAGAGGUGAAAUUCGUAGAUAUUCGCAAGAACACCAGUGGCGAAGGCGGCUCACUGGCCCGAUACUGACGCUGAGGCACGAAAGCGUGGGGAGCAAACAGG
rnacentral:rRNA from 1 species